AUAGCUAAAACUCACCAAGUAGGUUGAAAUCACUGGUAAAUAUGGGAUUGCUAUGGUGCCUCCCUCUGGAAAACACUGAAGAAAACUGAAAUCAGCCAUCCUGCCAAGUACACUUGCUCCUUCUGUGGCUAAACCAAGAUGAAGAAACAAGCAGUUAGGGAUCUUACACUGUGGUUCCUACAUGAAAACAGUAGCUGAUGGUGCCUGGAUCUACAAUGCCACUUCCACCAACAUGGCAAAGAUGGCCAUCAGAAGACUGAAGAAAUUGAAAGGCCAGUAG
rnacentral:lncRNA from 1 species